AGAUACCAAUCAGAAAUUCUUUCUAAAACCCAGAGUCCAUCAGCUGAAGAUUAGGGAAAGUUCCCUUUAGGAAAGAUCCUAAAGAAACAUGAUAAGCAUAUACAAUAAAUAUUACUCAGGUCCUUCCCACAAGGGAAUGCAUCUGCCCCCAUUUAUCAGAUAAAUGGACGCUAAGAAAAGUGAAAUACCCAAACAUUGCCCUAUGAGGAAUGACGCAUAGAGAGCUUACAGGGUCUGAGCUGGCAAUGAAGCCUGGGGGACAUUAAAGUGGUGAUUCUUGGAGGUGAAGUGGUACUAUGGUUUGGAUAAGUGCCCCCCAGAUCCAUGUGCUAAAGGCUUGAUCCCCAGAGUGGCUCCUGGGAGGUAUUGAAACCCUUAGGAGGAAUCUAUUGUGUAGCCCUUAGGUCAAUAUAGUCAUGUCCUUGAAGGGAACUGUGGGACCCUGGUCUCUUCCUGUUUCUUCUUUCUGGUCAUGAGGUAAGCAGUUUUGUUCCACCAUGCACUCCAGCCAUGAGGUGCCACUCUUGACGUUAGUCCAAAGCAAUAGGAUCACUUGAUCAUGGACUGGAACCUCCAAAACCAUAAGCCAAAAUAAACCUCUUUUUCUUUAUAAGUUGGUUAUUUCAGGUAUUUCAUUAUAGUGACACAAAGCUGCAAACAACAGGUAGUAAAUGGAAUUCUGACCUAAGUCAGUUUUACAGUAGGUACCAUGGAUCAGUAGACCUAUCUUAGGGUGACUUUCCUCUAUUGUGAGUGUAUAAUUAGUAUAGCUAUUACUUAGCAACUGGCAGAAUCUCAUAUUGGUUCUAUUAACAAAAGUCAUCGUAGUAGAAAAGGACAAAAUGAAGUCCCAGAAAUUACCUUCCAAAUCAAAAUCAUAAAUUUAAAUCCACCCCACAUCUCAGGUGGAAGUACAGAAGUGAGUGCCAGUCUGAAUAUCUUGAGAUAUUUCACUCAGGAGGAAGUAGAUUUGUCCUUAGAAGAAAUAAAACCACUCAGUAUGUGUUUGUCUUCCCUACCCACUCUCUGAGGACUUUGAGAAUGCCUGAUUUUACCUCUACCCUAGAUGGAAGGACAGUUUGCAGAAAGGAACGUGUGUCACUGGGGGAUGCAUGACCAUGAGAUCCCUGUGUCCGACCACAGACCACCUUACCCACAAGCAGCAGAUCCGAAAGAAUGACAGGAUGGCACUAAGGAUGCAUGAAGACACCAAAUCAGAGACAAACACCUGCAGGUUGGAGAGCUCCCUCAGAUGUACUGAACAGCUGCUGUAUGGUGCUCACCCACAAUUGCUAAAAUACAGGCAUCCCCAGAUGAAGAGACGAAAGUAAAAUGGGUUUGGAUAAAAGGGGUCCUUCUCCCCAUCACUCUCAGCAACUCACUUAGUGGUUGUGCUUUCCAUUCCUACAACUCAGGUUCUGCUGGGUGAGAGCCCCUGGCUCCCAAGAGGCUGCCCUCCCAAAAAGUAAUGAGUGGUAAGGGUCCACUGAGCCUGGAGCCAUGAAUGUCAUUGGUCACUCUUAACUCUUUAUUACCUGGAGACCAGCACCAAUCCCUCAGAUAAGACUUCCUAUGCUGGUUGGAGAAACCUUUUCUAUCAUGAGCAGUCAGGGUGCUGCUACCUACUGAGUCAGAGAGCACUGUGCCUUGAUAAUGAUGAUUGACUGAAGUAUCUCUUCCUGCUUCCAUUCCUGAUGAUAAUGGAAAAUGAGAAUUUGUCUUGCUCAUGGGCUAAUGAGGGCCAGGUGACCAGAGAGUCAGACCCACAGGUAUGAAAGUCUGGGUUAUUCCAUCAAGCAGCAAAAAUGCUGGCCAAGGGUAGGGGAAAUCUAAUCCAGUGGUUGAGGAGGAACAAGAUGACAAAUAUUAUCUUGAAACUAGCUAACAGCUGCAGGUACUGCAGCUUCUUCUGGUAAUUUAUUUAUUUUUUAAAGCUAUUUUUAUUGUGACUGGCCAUAGGACAUGGUGGCAGAAGGGCUUAAUGUGGGGCUUAAGCAGAUCUGAGAGGGGCAAACAGCAAUCAGCAUGUCUGAAUUUACUUUCAAAUAGUGCCUGGAGAAUAAGUAAUCCACAAAGGAUACUUUGGGAAAAGUUGGGGUUUGUUUAUAUUUCAGAUGAUUUUGUUUUAUUGAUUUAAUUUUUUUGGGGGGGUUGAACUCAGGAGUACUUUAUCACUGAACUAUAUCCCCAACCCUUUUUAUUUUUUAUUUUGCCUUCUGCUGAAGAGUCUCACUAAGUUGCUGAGGCUAGCCUUGAGCUUCAGAUCCUCCUGCCCCAGUCUCCCGAGUUGCUGGUAUUACAAGUGUGUGCCACAGCGCUGGCAUGGUUUUUGUUUGCUUUUUGUUUGUUUGUUUGUUUGUUUUAAUUUUAAAAGGAGUAUUCUGAAUGAUCCAGCUAUCUAUUAUACUUUAUAGUCAGACACAUUUUUUAUCUGAAUUUUAAAAAGAAAAAGGAGGAAGAGGAGAGGAAGAAAGGAAAGAAAAAGGGAGAGAGAAAAGUAGAAUUUUGAAGAUAGCAGAAAUUCAUUGCCAGAAUUAUUGCUCCAUUGUGGGUACUCAGUAAACCUGAAUAAGUACUUCAGUGUAUCUAGAAGCCACACUGCUUGGAGACUAUUGGUGUCCACAUUUUCAAAACAGACUCUCUCCGGCCUAAUAGAAUAUUAUCACUUAGAACCUAGUGUUUUCUUAGAAUGUGUUGUUAUAUUUUUACUCAUUACAGGGAUUACUCUAAAGUGACGGGGUCAGUUAGAUGAAAAGUCAGUCUUACCCCAGUGAUUGCUAACAUUUGAAGAGAUCAGCAUGACCUUAAAGGAUUGCAGUGAUGUCUGUCUUUCAUUUAAGACUUCUAUGUCUCAGAAUAAUUUAGCUUGUAAAUACAAGCUUGCUUGAUAAGAGUAGGCUGCAAAGAUUUGUGUAUUUGUUAAAGUGCAGAGCCAAAGACUCACGUCUGAAAAGAGUGAAGAAAGGGCUGGGCACCGUGGCACAUGCCUAUAAUCCCAGAGGCUCUGGAGACUGAGGCAGGUGGAACACAAGUUCAAAGCCAGCCUCAGCAACUUAGCAAGGCCCUAAGCAGCUCAACAAGACCCUGUCUCUAAAUAAAAUAUUAAAAAGGGCUGGAGAUGUGGCACAGUAGUUAAGUGCCUCUGGGUUUGAUCCCCAGUACCAAAAAAAAAAAAAAAGUGAAAAAGGGAAAGAAUAAAGAAUAGCUCUCUUCCUCUCUCUCCCCCACCACCCCCUCUCUUCAUAAUUUUAAAUAACUCCAUAGUAACUUAUAUGCAUGACUGCCACUAGUCUUUAUAUUUCUCUGACUCAGAGUUUAGUGGUGUUGGUAAUAGUGAGUUGUUUUCAGAACAUUACUUCUUCAUUUGCCUUUUCUGGCAUCAAACUGCAUGACAUGUAUACAUAAAUAUAUUAAUCUCUCUGUGUCAUUUUUUAGUUUUGCCUUCUUCCUGGAUAUUAACUCCCUAAUUUUUUCCAACUCCUUGCUCAUAAUAAAUUCCAGAGCAAUGCAAUAUAUUGUGUCUUCCACAUAACUUAGAAUUCAUGGUUUCACAUCUGUCAUUUGAAGAUAAUCAGAAUUCUUUCACUACAAAAUAACUACGCGAUGUGUCCUGAAAAGAGUAAAUGAUUGAUUUCUUUUCAAAAUGCAAAGAGAAAAGCAUUGAGAACACUGCAUCUAAGACAGUGCCCAAAAAGUAACAGUAAUUAAAUGCCCACAUACAAAUAUUUGGCUCAUUCAACCAAAUUUAGCUCUAAACUCAAUAAUGUUCUUUUUUUAAAAAAAAAAAUGUAGUUGUAAAUAAACAGAAUGCCUUUAUUUCAUUUGUUUAUUUUUAUGUGGUGCUAAGGAUCAAACCCAGGGCCUCACACAUGCUAGGCAAGUGCUCUGCCACUGAACCCCAGCCCCAGCCCUCAGUAAUGUUCUUAGGACCACUGUAAUGCUGAACUUGGUCCAGUCUCAUUUUACCAUGGCAAGAGUGAUGAUGAUGAUGAUGAUGAUGACAAUAAUGACAAUGACAAUGACAACGAUGACAGCCAGAGUUUAUUGAAUGCCUACUAGGCAUUGAGGGCUAUGCAUUCAUGCCUACACUCAGCCACUCCUCUCCACUUCCCCACUUAGUGUAAGCCAUCAUUGUCUACAGUUUGGACUACUAGGAUUGCCUACUAAUUUAAUUACACUCUGUGCUUUCAUGCUUAGCUGCUUACAAUUCAUUCUUCAUACAACAGCUGCAGUAACUUUUUUUUUUUUUCUUUUUGGUGUUGGAGAUUGAACACAGAGUCUAGGCAAGUGCUCUGCCAACUGAGCUAUAUCUCCCAGCCCUCAGCUGUAAUGAUCUUCUACAAUGAAUUUUAGAUAACAUCACUAUAUACUUCCUUAACCUGAUACCCACCAUAUUUAAAACCCAUUCCAAACGCAUUACAAGGACUUUCAAAGCCUGGCCACCUCUGGGAUCCCAACAGCCACGCUGCCAUUCCUUAGACACACCAAGCCAUCCCUGUCUCUGGGCCUUGGCUCUGCUAUUUCUCCUUUCCUACCUUCAGACUCUAAAUUUCACCCCUUGAAGAGGCAUUCUGUGAUGACCCAGUCUAACCUAGCCCCCAAUCACCUUCUAUUGCCUCCUUUCUCUUUGAGUUCUCUGCAUACCACUCACCACCUCCGAUGUGCUCUUGUUUUUCUAUUUCUUCAUUGUUUGAUUCCUUCCCCUGGAAUAUUUGCUCCAUGAGAACAGAAACCCCAUUUAUCCUAUUCACCACCAGAGUGGCAUCUAAUAGUACACAGUAGGCCUUCCAUAAGGGUUGUGCUGGAUGAGCAAAGAAUGUGUGACGAGCUUUCUGAGCUCAGAACAUCAUCCUAAGAGGGGAAAACCAUUACAGUUAGGUGUGAGGAAACUCCAGGUAGGUAGGUAAAGCAUGAAGCUUCUAGGUUUAAAACCAGAAUCCUAACUCUCAAUUUGGGGUAGGGAGGUUGAUAGAAGAGGCUAGGAGGGGUAGGACAGGGACACAAGCCACAGGAAAAAUAAAAAAUACAUUUUAUAAACAAUUUCAGAAGAUCUUAAACUCAAAGUGCAGUUCCAAUGUGGACAGAAGUUUUGUUCUGUCUCAUCUUUUUCUCAGAAGGAGAUUUCUGGCUUACUCUUCUGGGCAGGACAGACAGAUCUCCUCCCCUCCGUGGAGGAGUUAUUGAGCAGUGACAACACCCUGAAGACUAAGCCCUCCCUGAUCUCAAAGCAGCAGCAGCUGGCUCUCAGUUCUAAUCAUUGGAUCUCAGGUCUGAAGUGCCAACCAGGCCCUAACCAAGGAGCCCUUCAUCCUUUCCUUCACAAAAUGUGUCGGCACCUACCAUAUGAUGAUGGGCUUACUGGCUCAGAGGACAUGAGAAGGCAGGGGUGGCCCUCGCUGCAUGGAUUUCACGAGCCAUGGGGAGGGCAGACACGCAGGUAAUUUCACUCACAGGCUGAUGGACAACCGCUCCUUUCACUCACAGGCUGAUGGACAACCGCUCCUAUUCUUUUCGCAGUUGGUGGUGAGUGAGCACCAUUUAAUCAGUAGUAGAGUAAGAGAGAUCCCAGCCAUCAGCCUUGGUCUGACCAAAGGAUUUCUACAUAAGACUUUAAAACACAUUUUCAAAUACAACUUUUAGGUUUUGUUAUAUGGCAUGCAUGAUUUACUCAGAUUAUACCAACCAUCUGGAACCUAUACUGCUGCCUGACUUUUAAAGGAAUGGAUUAAGGCUGGAUGAAACCUCCUGGAACACUGAGAUGUUACCUAUUUUUGAGCUGCAGGAGUCACAUUGUUCUUGAAACUGAGAAGUUCCUGGAGAUUUACAGAGAGACUUCUUCUAGCUAAAAACACUGUAAUGUUAAGUGUUCAUAGUAUAAAUUCAUAAGUAGCUACACCGUUUGACCAUAUUUCCCCCUGUUUGGUAUCCUCUGAUGCUAAAAGAUAAAAAAUGGUUUGAGGAAGACUGAGCCUUGACCAUCUAAUACAUGAAUUCAGGGUGUUUAUGUUCAAGGGCUUAAUGCUUACGUAUUAAGAGCCUAGUAUAUUCUUGUGUUGACAUUGGCCCAACUGCCAUUUUAAAAUGCUGCUCUAGCAGAAUUUGCCGUACAUUCGAAAUGCCACACUUUCCAACCAGUUCUAAUUCUUGAGUAAUCCAAUAGUGAGGUGGUAAGGAAGUUACUUCAUUUAUUUCUCUGUUUAUAAUAGUAAUUGCUAUGAUUAGUUCAGAACAUUUCUUAUGGCCGUAAAUUACUACAUACUUAACUCAUUUAAUUCUCCUAAUACCUCCAUGCAUAGGAACCAUUUUCCCUGUGAUGCAGGUAAGGAAAUCAAGGCUCAAAGACACUAAGUAACUUACACACGUUUACACAGCUGGACAGUAGCAGAAUCUGACAUCUUCUGGUAAUGUGUCCUAGUCACAGGCUUACAUUGACAUUUGCAGACCUUCUAAAGAAACAUUUCUGAACAUUGAGUAUUGUAAGGUUCUUCCUCUACUAGAAUUAAUGUAUAUCAGAAAAGAGAUUCAUGUAUAAGGGAAAUUAUUUCACUUACAUGAGGAAUUUUUAAAGAGUUAAACUCAUAGAGAGAGGGAGUAGAAUAGUAGGGAACUCGGGGAUAGGAGGAUAGUGGUCAAAGAGCAUAAAAUUUCGGUCAGACAGGAAGGAUGACUGAAAGAGAUCUAUGAUACGACAUAGUGACUACAGUUAAUAACAACAUAUUGUAUACUUGAAAUUACUGAGAGUCAGUUUUAAAUGUUCUCACUGCAAAAAAAUAAGUAUAUGAGAUAAUGACUAUGUUAAUUACCUUGAUUUAGCUACACCAUAGUGUAUAUAUAUUUCACUAUAUGUUGUACACCAUAAAUACAUACAAUUUCUAUUUGUCAACUUAAAACAGUAAUUUUUAAAAAUUAAAUAUGUAAAUAAAGAUAAUAAUCAGAAGAAGAAAAAUGCUGC
rnacentral:lncRNA from 1 species